rnacentral:rRNA from 1 species
AUUGAACGCUGGCGGAAUGCUUUACACAUGCAAGUCGAACGGUAACAGGUCUUCGGAUGCUGACGAGUGGCGAACGGGUGAGUAAUAUAUCGGAACGUGCCCAGUCGUGGGGGAUAACGUAGCGAAAGUUACGCUAAUACCGCAUACGAUCUACGGAUGAAAGCGGGGGAUCGCAAGACCUCGCGCGAUUGGAGCGGCCGAUAUCAGAUUAGGUAGUUGGUGGGGUAAAGGCUCACCAAGCCAACGAUCUGUAGCUGGUCUGAGAGGACGACCAGCCACACUGGAACUGAGACACGGUCCAGACUCCUACGGGAGGCAGCAGUGGGGAAUUUUGGACAAUGGACGCAAGUCUGAUCCAGCCAUUCCGCGUGCAGGAUGAAGGCCCUCGGGUUGUAAACUGCUUUUGUACGGAACGAAAAGGUCUCUAUUAAUACCAGGGGCUCAUGACGGUACCGUAAGAAUAAGCACCGGCUAACUACGUGA